rnacentral:lncRNA from 1 species
CAUCAUCUAAAAUCUAAAACAUAGUUCAAAAUCAUAACUUCAGGUAAACAAAUCAAUCUUCUUGUGUUACUAUUGAACUCUAUCUAUCAAUUAGUGCGUAACUUUACCGUGAGUUAUUAACCUGCAAAAGUGGUUAUUUGCAAGGGUGAGCUCAACAGCCCAGCAAUUCCUACAGUUUUCAUGCAUCACAUAGCACGUAAUAUCAUGCAUAGUCCAUAC